rnacentral:lncRNA from 1 species
AAAUUUACUGUUUGCAAUAGCAUAAAUUGUUCUAUAUAAUAAGGAUGUUCUUAUCACAAGCAGAAAACCCUAGCCGUAUUUUGCACAACCUUUUUCAACUUUUGAUCCUCAGAGCUGUACAACUUUGUACCCCACCCCCUUUUUUUGACCUUCGAACUUUUAUAUCUGGGCGUCACUGGUAAUUCUUGUUUGGACGAGGCGCGUUUUUGACGUAAUGAAUUUUAAACCUGAUGCCUUUUGUUAUCUGUUGUUCGUGUGUUUCUAAUACGUUCUCCUAUUUGUUUGUAUUGUGGUCCUGUAUUAUUAUGUUGUCAUUUUGAUAUUAUAUUUAACAAUGCCAUCAAAGUGCGAGGUUUGGCAUGCCACAAAACCAGGUUCAACCCACCAUUUUUUUCUUUAAAAAUGUCCUGUACCAAGUCAGGAAAAUGGCC